rnacentral:rRNA from 1 species
UACAGAGGUCUCAAGCGUUGUUCGGAUUCAUUGGGCGUAAAGGGUGCGUAGGUGGCGCUGUAAGUCAGAUGUGAAAUUUCGGAGCUUAACUCCGAAACUGCAUUUGAUACUGCGGUGCUUUGAGGACUGGAGAGGAGAUUGGAAUUCACGGUGUAGCAGUGAAAUGCGUAGAUAUCGUGAGGAACACCAGAGGCGAAGGCGGUUACCUGGACAGUUACUGACGCUCAGGCACGAAAGCGUUGGGGAGCAAAAGGG